rnacentral:rRNA from 1 species
UACGUAGGGUGCAAGCGUUGUCCGGAAUUAUUGGGCGUAAAGAGCUCGUAGGCGGUCUGUCGCGUCGGAUGUGAAAAUCAGGGCUCAACCCUGGACCUGCAUUCGAUACGGGCAGACUAGAGUUCGGUAGGGGAGACUGGAAUUCCUGGUGUAGCGGUGAAAAUGCGCAGAUAUCAGGAGGAACACCGGUGGCGAAGGCGGUCUCUGGGCAUUACCUGACGCUGAGGAGCGAAAGUGUGGGGAGCGAACAGG